rnacentral:rRNA from 13 species
AUCUCAGAUUGAGUAAGACUACCCGCCGAAUUUAAGCAUAUAAUUAAGCGGAGGAAAAGAAACUAACAAGGAUU